GUGAGUCAUCGAAUCUUUGAACGCACCUUGCGCCUUCUGGCUAUUCCAGAGGGCAUGCCUGUUUGAGUAUCAUGAACACCUCAACUCUCACGGUUUUGCCGUGAUGAGCUUGGACUUUGGAGGUCUUGCCGGCCUGUGGUCGGCUCCUCUCAAAUGAAUCAGCUUGCCAGUGUUUGGUGGCGUCACAGGUGUGAUAACUAUCUACGCUUGUGGCUCCCACCGGGUAACCUUCAGUGAUGGGGGUUCGCUGGAGCUCAUAAAUGUCUCUCCUCAGUGAGGACAGCUUCUUGAAUGUUUGAUCUCAAAUCAGGUAGGGCUACCCGCUGAACUUAAGCAUAUCAAUAAGCGGAGG
rnacentral:rRNA from 1 species